UACAGAGGGGGCAAGCGUUGUUCGGAAUUACUGGGCGUAAAGGGCGCGUAGGCGGCCUGCUAAGUCGAACGUGAAAUCCCUAGGCUCAACCCAGGAACUGCGUCCGAUACUGGUUGGCUUGAAUCCGGGAGAGGGAUGUGGAAUUCCAGGUGUAGCGGUGAAAUGCGUAGAUAUCUGGAGGAAUACCGGUGGCGAAGGCGGCAUCCUGGAC
rnacentral:rRNA from 1 species